GGCGAAUCUCAUGCUGGCUCGGACGAGGAAGGCGAAGAAGAUUCUAUCUGUGGGUCAAAAUGUACGCAUUGGCAUUCCCGACGUGGACAGGGCGAGGACGCAACAGAAAAAUGUUAUCGGAGUGAUAUUGGAGUGUGUCGGCGAGUCACAGUAUAUAAUUGGCACGACGAAGGGGAAGCUGUCCGGCGUCUACGGCCCAGAAGCAGUACAACCGUGUGCCGGGCACUUCAUCUCCUCCUCCGACGUCCCCGACAUCUCGAUCACACUUAGAGAAUGUGCUCGCCUGGUCUCAGGGGGGAAGGGUCAGGGGAUGUUUUCCUGCAAGUGCAGGAGGGGUGUAUGUAAAGGCCGAUGCAAGUGCAUCAAGGCGGGCGUUACUUGUAUCAGUCGCUGCCAUAAAGGCGCUCACUGCAAUAAUAAAUAGUAAGAAAGUCA